UUAGUGUACAACUCAUUUUGCGCCAAUUUUCACAAGUGUUUGUCUUAGUCUAAAUGAGAAGUGCAAAGGUUUUUAUACUCUGGGAUGCAACCGACAUGUUCAAAUGCUUGAAAUCCCACAAAUGUUAGACCAAUUUUAAGUUUCUUAAGUUAUUUCCUUUAAAGUAUAUAUUAAAGUGAAACCGAAGUAGACUGCGCUGACUAACCAGUCACUCUGGACGGUGGUGGGACUGAAGCAUGCUUUUACUUCUAAGACUGUCUAACACCUGUUUCAUCUGAUGUCUCCACAGACUGGAUUUAAAACAAAACAAAAAAAAUUUUUUUUUAAUUUCUUUGUUUUAGUUUUUAACCUAAAGAUGUUAGACAGAUGGGGAGUGUGUUUUUUCUCAACUGCUUCACUAUUUUAAACAAUUUCUGCUUUAGGUGACAGGAAAUUUGCCCUCCCCAGCAGUCCCACUGCUGCCCCCUGCCCACUCAGUCCCAGCUCUAUAGUGUUGGGAGCAGCAGCAGGGCCCAUAUUCUGGGGCUCCCACAAGGGGAGAUGGGAAGAGGUUCCACAUGUUGGGCUGAGCCAGGCCCUCCAGAGACACAAAAGGUGUUUUGUAAGCCCAGGCACCAAUGAGAACGGACCAAAGAGUUUCAGGGCAGCUCCAGUAUAUUCCAGAGUCAAACCUGAGCUCCAGGCAUGCCUGAAGAUGCCCCACUCCUCUGACAUCCUGAGCGUCUGUCCACACAUUGCAUGCAUGGUGCCCACACAUCAGAUACUGUUGUUCAUGCAACUUCCCGAGUUUCCAAGACCAUUUAACCUAGCUUGAAUGCACAACGAUUGCUCUGUUUUUAAUGACACAGAAACAUUUGAGCAUUGUAUUUUCUCGCAUCCCUUCUUGUGAGCACUAGACUUUUUCCAAUCUUAGUCAGAUUUUGCUUUGAAAUUUUGCUUUUGUAUGGACACUCAGCAGAAAAGUACUUCUUGCCAGUUAUCUAUUAACAAAAUCCUUUGAUUUGUAGUUUUAAGGAUUAACCCUCAAAGUUCUCUUCAUAACUGCCUUGACGUUUGGGGUUCUGUUCUGUUAAUUUUCUUUUGCUUUUUUGUGUUUUUUGUUUGUUUUUACUUUUGCAUUUAAGACCAUUAAAUUUGAUUUUGUUUUGCUCGAGUUUUGUUUUGUUUUUUGUUUUACCUUUUCUUUCUUUUUUGGCUAGGGAAGGGCACAGACAGCCCAGCAUUCAGGGAGGAGUCUGUCAGACCUUAAACACUUGCCUCAAGUUUAAAAAACAUUUCUGGAGCUAUGGUAUAAGAAAUACAGCUAUGGAUCAAUGGUUCUUAACUCAGGAGCUGGUAGGAAAGGUCAAAGGGAAGGGAAGAGCACAUGAGGCCUGACCCCUACAGCCCUCAGGACUGUUCUGAUGUUUAUUAGUAUGUGGAGAGAAUGAGAACAGGCUAGUGCAGUUACUGGCAGCUCUUCACUUUGAUGUAAGCCUGGAGUGUAUAACAGCAGGCUAGUAUUUAGUUCUUGAUAUCAUGGUAUGAUAGCAUUAUUUACACAUAUCUGUUUAGUUAUAUAUACAUAUAUAUAUACAUAUAGCUAUUUUGUUUCAUUUACUUAAGUGGAAAACUGAGCAAAAAGCACAGCCAUCUCUAAAGUAGGUCAGUGUAUCAAGAAGCCCAUGUACAAAUUGAGGCUGCCUGUUCCCUCCCCCGCCUCCUUUUCCUGACUUCCCUGGAGGCUCGUUGCAGUGUUCUCUACCAUUGGUGAGGUUGUCUCAUGUACUCAGGCUUUGUCCCACCCUAAGUGAGUCAAGUGCUGCUCAGUACCUCAUUCCAUCCCAUAAUUCCCAGCCUAUAGGGCCUGAAACCCAGAACCAAAGGCUCAUAUGCCCAGAUCUGACCAAAAAAGGAGAGGGGUCCUCUGCUUUGAGGGUGCAGAGUGCACCUCCCCGUGGGACCAAAAUGUUGUGAUAAAAUACGCAUUUCUAGUUUCUUAGCCAGCAUUCUUCUGAGUGGAGGUGGGAUUCUCCUCAGUCGUGUAGCCUUUGUAUUCCACACCUGAAAGAGACUGUGUCUUUAAAGGACCUGGUGCUCAGAGCUAGCACCUUAAUCACUAUACCAUCCCUACCACCCAACACCUGUUUACUCCAUAGUAACUCUGAGAGGAACUGGGGGAAAUGUCACCAGCUUCUGGAGGUCACUUCAAGUUCGACAUUUUCUUUCUGUGUGGUCUCCACUGUCUGGGUAGCACUCUAGAUAAAAGUCCCAGUGCAUUCCUUGAUGAGCUUUCUUUGUCAGUGUCUAGAAGAAAGUAGCUUUGAAAAGGCAUUCCUGAAAGCAGUUUUCAUUCUAUGAAAGGACUAGGUCCUGGCCCUGGACGCGUUCAUGACAGCUAGUCAGGCUGGGCAGAAAUACAGAACCCAGACGUGUGUGUAGCUCAGAGAUUAAAGCACUUGCCCAGCAUGAGGGCAGCCCUGAGCUCUGUCCCCAGCAUUGGAGGAAAAGUCACAACCCAAGAGAAAGGGGUUUUUUUUGUUUUGUUUUUUAAGGAGAAAUUCAUCCUGUUUUUAUUGAGCAAGUUAAGGCCAUUUCUUUUGUUGGGAAAUCUGAUGGAAAAAAAUACAGAGAGUAGGUAAUGUUCAUUCAUCAGAAAUAUGGUUUGACCAAUACCAAAGAGGCUUUGACUGAGUUCUCUUGACCUCCUCUGGUAGUGGGUUAUUUCUUGAGCCACCUCCAGGUUCUUCCGCCUACUUCUGGUUGGGUUGCCUGUUUCUUUCUUGAGUGAUUCUCUCCCCCAAUUGAAACUUCUAGGUAAUGUGCCAAGCCAUCCUGGCUGUGCCUCUGGUCACAGAAGUGUGACUAUAUCUCCCUCCUCCCCAUACUCUGAUCAGCUACCAUCUUCCUUGACUACCUGAGAACCAAACUUCCCUUGGAGGGUGGGAUGUGAUGCCACUAUAUUGAAUGGGUUCUGUCUCCCUUGAAGUUGCCUUAACCUUUUAGUGGCAGUAAGUAGUUAAGAAACUCGUACACACCUUCAGACUGGACCUCCUGCUAUAAGGAGUUAAAGCUGGAGUCUCCCAGCUGACAUUUAAGGAGAACCCUGCUGGGUCAGAGAAAUUAAUGAGCCUCCAAGACAACGGCAGUUACCUAUAUGGGGUUGCUUCCAAAUAAUAGCCAUUUGUCUAUAAAGUUAUGUGUUGAAAGGAUGUGACCUACUCCAGUCAUUAGAUUUGGAAAUCGAAGUUGAAAUAACUCAGCUCUUCCAGUUAGCGUGUUUCAGCAAGAUUUUAUCUCUUGAUGGUUUAUGUGGCCAGCUUUUCUAUAUUGGGUGAGAGAAUAUGAGUAUGCUGAAAGGUCUUCUGCCUCCUCUAUCCCCAACACCUUACCCCUUCCCAUCUUUUCAGGAACUGCCUCACCUACUGGGACCCGAGGUAACUCCUGGGGAGGGAUCCCUGGGGUUCAUCAUACUCAAGGGGUCAGGAAUCGUGUUUCCAAACCUUCCUAGAGUACCCCAAUCAUCAUGAAUGCUUACUGUUGAGUGGCAUUGAUGAUUUGACACAUUCUUAGGGGAGCAACAGAACAUGCAUUUCCAUCCUAAAUAAGGACCCUCCCACUUCCACCUUUGACCUUUAAUAAUGAUUGUAUUACAUUUCCCCAUAACCUUUUGCUGAUGUGGUUCAAUUUAUUUCUCUCAGUCAUGAAAAUUAUUUAUUUAUUUAUUUAUUUUUAUUUAUUUGUUUGUUUAUUUAUUUAUUUAUUACUUGUGAGUCACCAGCUGCCAAGUAUUUGCAUUAGUCUGGUGGAGACUUUGAGAGGACUGUGCUUUUCUGUUCCCCUCCCCCAGAAAAGAAGGCUGGUUGGUUGGUUGGUUUGAACCACCUCUCUUCCCACAUGCUGUUUCCCUCACCAUGGCUUACUUUGGGGGAGGGGAGGGCUUCUACCAGCUGAUUCCCUUGUUGUACACUAGAUGGCUAGACAUUUUUGUAUAUUAGUGUGUUUUAAGUUAUUGAUUUGUUUUAUAUGAAAUAAUUUAUUUUUCAGGUACCAUUUUUUUUUUCAUUUUAACUUUGUUUUUACAUGGGUUUGUUUUCAAUAAAGUCUGACAUUGCUGUCCAAAG
rnacentral:lncRNA from 1 species